rnacentral:rRNA from 1 species
UACGUAGGGUGCGAGCGUUUGUCCGGAAUUAUUGGGCGUAAAGGGCUCGUAGGCGGUCUGUCGCGUCGGUAGUAGAAAACUCAGGGCUUAACCCUGAGCCUGCUUCCGAUACGGGCAGACUAGAGGUAUGCAGGGGAGAAUGGAAUUCCUGGUGUAGCGGUGAAAUGCGCAGAUAUCAGGAGGAACACCGGUGGCGAAGGCGGUUCUCUGGGCAUUACCUGACGCUGAGGAGCGAAAGUGUGGGGAGCGAACAGG